rnacentral:rRNA from 1 species
GUGUCAGCAGCCGCGGUAAUACGAAGGGGGCUAGCGUUGCUCGGAAUUACUGGGCGUAAAGGGCGCGUAGGCGGUUCUAUAAGUCAGGCGUGAAAUUCCUGGGCUUAACCUGGGGGCUGCGCUUGAGACUGUGGGACUUGAGGUCAGAAGAGGGUCGUGGAAUUCCCAGUGUAGAGGUGAAAUUCGUAGAUAUUGGGAAGAACACCGGUGGCGAAGGCGGCGACCUGGUCUGAUACUGACGCUGAGGCGCGACAGCGUGGGGAGCAAACAGGAUUAGAUACCCUGGUAGUCC